rnacentral:rRNA from 1 species
UACAGAGGUCUCAAGCGUUGUUCGGAUUCAGUUGGGCGUAAAGGGUGUGUAGGUGGCGCGCUAAGUCGGGUGUGAAAUUUCGGAGCUUAACUCCGAAACUGCAUUCGAUACUGGCGUGCUUGAGGACUGGAGAGGAGACUGGAAUUCAUGGUGUAGCAGUGAAAUGCGUAGAGAUCAUGAGGAAGACCAGUGGCGAAGGCGGGUCUCUGGACAGUUCCUGACACUGAGACACGAAGGCCAGGGGAGCAAACGGG